GCCGGCAUAGCUCAGUUGGUAGAGCAGCGGUUUUGUAAACCGAAGGUCGCGGGUUCGAUCCCUGCUGCCGGCA
rnacentral:tRNA from 1 species